AGGAGGACUGAGGAGGACUCAGGUGGACUCAGGUGGACUGAGGAGGACUCAGGUGGACUCAGGAGGACUCAGGUGGACUGAGGUGGACUCAGGUGGACUGAGGAGGACUGAGGAGGACUCAGGUGGACUGAGGAGGACUCAGGAGGACUCAGGAGGACUGAGGAGGACUCACACAGCAAAAUUGGUAGUGUUGAUUUCCCAGUGUCAAAUAUUCUGAGUUGAUCCGUGUUGAUCGUGGUGUUCCUUUAGCACUUACAGUGUUAAAACAGCUCUGGGGGGAGUUAUUGCGGCGAGUUAAGUGAUGCUCUCCUGACCGAGUUACUUGCACAUCCGGUUUCAACGCGCUCUUUCUUCUGGAAGUCACGGUGAAGAAAACCCGCGGUCAGGAAGAUAUGUAGCUGUUAUUUCAGAAGUUUCUGCAAGAUAUCACCAUGCUGCUGAAGGUGAAAUACCAGAGGACCAAGAAGUACAUCCGAUUACAGCUAGGUUUCACCUAUUUGGAAUUCAUCACUGCAGUCAAAAACAAAUUUGGACUCCAUGAUGCAGCUGAACUUCACAUAUUUGAUGAAACUGACACUGCAGUGGAGGAAGACAUUCUUCUUGAACUGAUAGAGUCCAAUCCAGACCUUUGCCUGAUCGUGCGUGACAGCAUUUCAGAUGAAAAUCAUUCAACACCAUCUUCUCUCACGGAUACCAUGACGCUUUCUUCAAGUGACAAUGACCUCUCCGGUCAAAGACAAAGAGGGAUUUUGAGCUCUGAGGUCAUGGACAGGUCUACAAAAAAGGUUUUGGAUUCAGAGGCUGCAAAAGAGAUGGUAGAAAAUGCCUUGCUCACCAAACCUGGAGGUGAAGAUGUCCUUGAAGAGUACAAGUCAGGAAAUUCGCUGAAGCACCGCACCCGUAGACAGCUUGUCAACAUGUUGGCUAGCCAUAUGACUGAAAUGGAUGGCUGAAUCAAGACUUCACACUGCCGUUUGGUGCUGAGACGGCUUCCAAGAUGCUCGAGAAGUGGGAUACAGCAUUCAAGCCCACGGUCAUCAAAGAGGCCAAACACCUGACUCCGACAACUGAGCUGUGCCAACUUCUGACAGCUGCGGAGAACCUUCUAGAAUGUGAUCAUACCGACGGGGACAGUGACAUGGCUUCUCUGCUGCUGCUUCUCCAUCUCUUGCCACCCACAGCUGGACGGAAGAAGAUCAAAAUCAGUCCCAGUGAUGCAGUGGGAAAAAUGUUGCAUUUUCACAAGUCAUGCUGCAGCAUCAGUGAACACCUGCUGGGAAGAGAGGCUAAACAACCGGACCUCCUUGCUGUUGGCCGAAACAAAAACAGAAUCGAUGCCUUCUCCAUCGUUGUGGAUAAACGGCUCAUCCCCUGCCAAGCUACUAGCUCGUUGGGUGCUUUUGAUGAACUAUUUAAAUCCCACUACGUGUUCAACCUGUCUUACGAUGAAACUUUGGUCCCACUCUUCACCUUUGUGCAGACAACAGUCGACAACAUCGAUAUUACAACAACAGAUCAGUCUCCAAGAGUACGUGAGUUCUGGGCGAAGGUCUUGCACGUGGUUUAAAAAUGAAGUAUUUCAUUUGUGGUGUUGUACAUGCGGCCUGCCAGGAGUUAAUUUUUGUAAAUGUGCAUGAUUGUGCUUUGAAGAUAUUUUCUGGAUAAAAUAAAAAUAAUUGUAUCAAUAA